UACGUAGGGUGCAAGCGUUAAUCGGAAUUACUGGGCGUAAAGCGUGCGCAGGCGGUUCGCUAAGACAGAUGUGAAAUCCCCGGGCUUAACCUGGGAACUGCAUUUGUGACUGGCGGGCUAGAGUAUGGCAGAGGGGGGUAGAAUUCCACGUGUAGCAGUGAAAUGCGUAGAGAUGCGGAGGAAUACCGAUGGCGAAGGCAGCCCCCUGGGCCAAUACUGACGCUCAUGCACGAAAGCGUGGGGAGCAAACAGG
rnacentral:rRNA from 1 species